UAUAUACAGAAAGAGAAUUUAAAUUUUUUUAAAGAACUCAUAUAGUAUCAGUGAUAUCUUUGGUAGGAUAAAAGGUAACUUUUAUUUUCUUUUUUAUCUUUGUACAUUUUCCAACUAUUCUUUGAUAAACAUGUAUUACAUUUGUAAUCAGUCAAAAAUAAAUACUAUCCAAAAAAAAGUAAGGUCAGAAGAAACUGGAAAACAUGAGCUUAAAAUCAGCCAACAUUUUAUGCUUACCAUAGCAUUUGCUGCACCAUAUUGACACCUACCAAUCAGAAAUAGACUAUAUACUUUCUGCAUCCCAGGUAUAAUAGGAUGGUGACUCUGGAUUGUAUUGAGUCUGUUCUCUAAACUCUUAAGGAUGUAGCCAGUUUUCAGAAUGUAGCAUAGAACUGCACUUCUGACCUAAAACCCAUAAAAACAGUGAAUUAAGCACUUAAUUUACCACUUACAAGUCUAGCCCCCUCUUAACAUCCCUUUCCAGGCCUCUCUCUUAGGAAGGAGCCUCACAUUUUCUUGUAGAAACUGGAAUGACACUCUGGCCCCAGCUCCCACUCCCCUCCAUGACGGGCAUGACUUAUCUGAUCAGAGAGUUAGGAGAGGCUCUUUUGGAGCCAGCCUGUCCAGAGGACAAGCAUUCCACUCUGCUCUCUGCCUUGGGGGAUUGUGCCCAACUCCCGCAUCAUGGGGGAUGCCUGCGGUUGACCAGCUGUGCCAGUGACUGCAGGAACUGCCCUCUUCACCUUUGGAUGCCUAUCCCAAGGCCUUGUGGAGACCACAGACUCCAUAACACAUAUUGACUGGAAUCAGAAAGAGGAGAGAGGAAAGGAUCUGCAAAGAAAAAGAGAAAUGUAGAUUGAGCAAAAAGGAAAUAACUUUCCUUUCACCCCAGAAUCCUCUGGUUUUUUCUCCUCUCUAUCCCUGCUUAUGCAAAAAUAAUUGGCUUCCAUUUGAGCUGUGCCAUUUUCAAGCCAUGUGACCUUCACCAAGUUAUCAAAACUUCCUGAACCUGUUCCCCCACUUUGCAAAAAGUUAGAUGUGGUGAGUCUGAACUAAGGAGGUGUUUAUGAAAGCAUUGGUUAAAUAAUAAUCUCUCAAAGAAGCCUAGCUUUCCUUCUUAAGGCCAAGAAUUGCAAUUGUGUGGUAAGGACACAGAGCAGGCAUAAACAUAGUUUGGCAGUUUAAGACCACACAGAUCCACUUAGGAAAAGGAGUGGUUUCUUGAGGGCACAAAAGCUGCAGACAUUAUGUGUCAAUGUGUCAACGGGACUCAGGUUCAGGAGCAGAUUCAGAUCUGUAAGGCCUUAAAACUUAAACAAUUUGGAGGUGUGAGGUAAGGCUCAUUAAGAAAAGAAUUCUUUCACAAAUUUUGCAAAAAGAUAUAACCUUGUGAACUCAGUGUUAGGGCCCUCCUGGGACUUACAAGGGGCCUGCGCAAGUGGGAGCCCUGAAGCUUAAGCUUCAUCAGCUUCAUGAUAUCUCCAUCUCUGGCCGGGUCUCAAGACAAAAUUGGGAGGUCUGAAGCAGAUGAUACAGACUGGCAGCUAGAUUGGACAGCAAUAAAAAGAAUUCAAUGUGGCCCAUAUCCUUUUUUUCAUCUUCCCUUUGGUCUUGCCUAAAUGGAGGUUUCCCUUCUCCUUUUCUAGAAAGGUCUCUGAGUGUGGGUGAAUUCUUUUUCCUUCACCUGUCUCCAGUCAGAUCACAUCACUGUACUCACUCAUCACCUCCUUAAAUCCCCAGGGGCAGCACUCUUUCUUGGCUGCUUCCUGACUGAUUUGACUCCAGAUUCUGCUCAAACUUGUCCCCAUGCCUGUGGCUAGAAAAGCGGCCAGAAACCAAGAGCCCCAUGUUUUGCUCCCCUAGUAGACAAGGACUCCUUGAAUCCCUAGGUCAAACCGCUGGGGCCUCUGGGUCUUGA
rnacentral:lncRNA from 1 species